CACCCAACAAAGAAGCUAAAAUUCUUAUUUUAUCCCUUAAUUAUUGUCUUCACCAUUACAUUCGUUGUUUAGCUUCUUCAACGCUGCUUUCCUUCUUCGACCAUUGAUUAUUCACCAACACUUUUUCAUCGGCGUUGAAAAUUUGGAAUUCGAAAAUUCAUUCUUUGCUCCACAUCAAUUUCGAGAUUAUUCACCAACAUUUCUUCAUCGGCGUUGAAGAUCUGAAAUUCAAAAAUUCAUUUAUUGUUCCACAUCAAUUUCGAGUGACGGUAAUAACCAAACCGGGAAACUACCAGAUGACGAAAACUACCCAAAUAAAAUGAAGAACAAAAUGUGGAAACGGCUGAACAGGAAGCCCGAGAAGCACUUACUCAAGGGUUUGCAGUGACUUGCAAUUUUCUCUAUAGUUUGUUGAAGGU